rnacentral:lncRNA from 1 species
GCAAGUAUCCCUGAAGGGGAGGGGGACCAGAGCCAGGCACCUGAAAGACCAGCAAAGCACCCCAAGAGCAACAAAGGAGUGAAGAAAAGUAGUGGCCCUAAAAGUGCUGAAAUGAACGGAGAUAAGAAAGGAACACGCGAUGAACAAACAGAGCAUGUCAAGAGUCAGAAGGGUUCCAAGAAAAGUAAAGGCCCUAAAAAUGCUGGAAUGGAUGUAGAUGAGAAAGAAACACCCAGUGAGCAAACAGAGGAGGUCAAGAGCCACAAGGGUGCGAAGAGAAGUAGUGGACCUAAAAGUGCUGGAAUAAAUGGAGAGAAGAAAGAUGUGCCCGAGGAACAAACAGAGCAGACCAGCCACAAAAAGAAGCAUGUGUCUGAUAAAAUUAAGA